rnacentral:lncRNA from 1 species
UCGGGACGAUUUUUUGAGCUGUGUGAAUAAUUCCCAAGCCGUAAUAAUAAGUCGUUGUCAAACACCGAAGACAAAUCGUUUUCUGCGGAAUCCGUCGGUGGAUCCGAGGCCUGAAUAAUAUCGAAGAGAAGAUUUUUCGAAAGCACAUUUAUUUAUUUACAUAUUCCGUGUGUUAAGGUCGCGCAAAAGACGCGAUCAACUGCUCGUGUCAUCAAAUUCUUUUUUACCUAUGCGAAAACAUUAUUCAUACAACUGUGAUCGAUUUUCUUGCGUUUCUAGUUCGUUCGGACAUUUCCAGUGUCUCAAACGUGUGUGUAAACGUCUCUCAACUCGAUUCAUACUUUUCGCAGGAGACAAAAAAGUCCUCGUGAUUUCUUACUAUUUAUUUACGAAGGAAAAAAGCCACAUCGAUUCCUCUGUAUAUACUCGCGUAUGUUAAUGGACCUAAUGAGCGAUCACUAACUCAGUGAGACGUGGCUAGUUACGAUAACGACUUUUUAUGAGGUGUUUUAUAUACUUGCGUGUACAAUUAGAGAACAUUGACCUUUGAGUGAUUUGAAAAAAAUCGAUAUUUUCCGGUGCGAUGCUCGUGAAAAAUUACUAUUUCGAGAAGAGUCGUUUAAUAGUUCGAAUCGAUGAAAAUUUAUUGAGAAAAUCGUACAGUACCGGCAGCUUUCAUUUGGUUAUUGGCGUCAGGUAACCAUAAAAACUGCUUUCCGCUCGUGCAUCGAUCGCUGCGAGCGGAAGGCAGUUUCCAUGAUUUUAUUAGCGGGUGCAACAGAAGCGGUCACCCAACCGAGUACUCGUCUCAUUCGGAGCUCGUUGGCUGACAUUUUCGAGUUCGAGGAGCACGCCAGGAUCGAAUAAAAGUGGAAAAAUGUUCUACACGUGCGGUGCUGAUAAGCGCUCUAAAGUGUUUCGCUUCGUUUAAAUUUACUCGUAGAGAAUUGAGCAAUUCGCUCUUCGCUCGUCUUCAACUCCAGCCGCUAUAGACACGCUGUGAUUUCUUCAUUUACCCCGAGUUGUUCCGAGAGUGCAUUCGCACUUAGAAAAAUAGAAGGCAAAGAAACAACUUGAGCGACGAACGUCAUGGAACGUCGAGGGAGCAGAUUGUUUUGACUCCAUUUCAAGCCUGUCAUGCGGAUACAACUCGAGUGUUCGGGAGUCCGCUUUCACAAGAAUCUACAAUUAAAAACUCGAGCAUAAAUUUCGCUGAAACAAAAAUCUAUGCAUUGGAGUGUUGGAAAUUUAUACGAGACCAAAGACAGAAAACUGGAAUAAAGAAUGCCUCCGGAAAAAUUGGACGACUCUUGACGGCGAUGGAAAUUGUUCAAGGAUAUAUUCAAAUCAAAGGCACAUAUAUUUUCAUAUAUAUUUUAUAAAAUGUCCUAUUUUAUACAGCAUAUAAAACAAUACUCUGUAUUUCAAUUUUAUAUUCACACGUUAGCGCUAUACGACUAUAUACCACGUUAACUCGCCUCGUUAAGGGCCCUCUUUCUCGCCCCCUUGCCCUCCUAUCGCUUUCAUGCGCCCGAGCCCCGACACAUACGUAUAUGACUUUACAAUAUUCGGCGGAUUAUUAAAAUUUAUUCUAUGGACAGG